rnacentral:sRNA from 1 species
UGAUGUGAGGGCGAUCUGGCUGUGACAUCUGUCACCCCACUGAUCACCAGGGUUGAUUCAGCUGCUCUGGCUGGCUAGGCAGGUGUCCCCAUCCUCCCUCACCUUCCUUCCUGAAGCUGUGCUGUUGGUGGAAGAGGACAGAUGGCCUUCCCCAAUAGAGACUGACUGGUCUUCGGGGGCGGGGGGAGGCAUACAAGCUGCGCUCCCCUGCUAGAACCUCCAAAUGAGCUCUCAAGACUUGUGAGAAAUAUGGUGGUUAUAGCUGGGAGGUGGGAGGGUAGGGAUACAGAACUUUGGUGGUGGGUAUGGUAUGGAACUAUACAUUGUAAUCUUACAAUCAU